rnacentral:rRNA from 1 species
AACGAACGCUGGCGGCGUGCUUAACACAUGCAAGUCGUACGAGAACGUUUCCUUCGGGAAAUUAGUAGAGUGGCGCACGGGUGCGUAACACGUGGGUAAUCUACCCUGAAGUUUGGGAUAACAUGGGGAAACCCAUGCUAAUACCGGAUAACCCUGUAUUUCAUAAGCAAUGCAGGUAAAGGCGGCCUCUAUUUAUAAGCUGCCGCUUUAGGAUGAGCCCGCGGCCUAUCAGGUUGUUGGUGAAGUAACGGCUCACCAAGCCUACGACGGGUAGCUGGUCUGAGAGGAUGACCAGCCACAUUGGAACUGAAACACGGUCCAGACUCCUACGGGAGGCAGCAGUGGGGAAUAUUGGGCAAUGGGCGCAAGCCUGACCCAGCGACGCCGCGUGGAGGAUGAAGGCCCUCGGGUCGUAAACUCCUGUCAGUGGGGAAGAAGGAAUGAAUGCCAAUACCAUUCAAACUUGACGGUACCUGCAGAGGAAGCACCGGCUAACUACGUGCCAGCAGCCGCGGUAAUACGUAGGGUGCAAGCGUUGUUCGGAAUUACUGGGCGUAAAGAGUGCGCAGGCGGCUCUGUUAGUCCAAUGUGAAAUCCCUGGGCUCAACCCAGGAACUGCAUCGGAUACUGCAGAGCUAGAGUGCGGGAGAGGUAAGCGGAAUUCCUGGUGAAGGGGUGAAAUCCGUAGAUAUCAGGAAGAACACCGGCGGCGAAGGCGGCUUACUGGAACGCAACUGACGCUCAUGCACGAAAGCGUGGGGAGCAAACAGGAUUAGAUACCCUGGUAGUCCACGCCCUAAACGAUGGAUACUGGGUGUUGGGGAGAUUAUUUCUCAGUGCCGUAAGCUAACGCAUUAAGUAUCCCGCCUGGGGAGUACGGCCGCAAGGCUAAAACUCAAAGGAAUUGACGG